UACGUAGGCAGCAAGCGUUGUUCGGAAUUACUGGGCGUAAAGAGUGUGUAGGCGGUGUUCCAAGUCUGUUGUGAAAUCUCCCGGCUUAACUGGGAGGGUGCGGCGGAAACUGGGAUGCUAGAGGAUGGGAGAGGUAAGCGGAAUUCCUAGUGUAGAGGUGAAAUUCGUAGAUAUUAGGAAGAACACCAGUGGCGAAGGCGGCUCACUGGCCCGGUACUGACGCUGAGGCGCGAAAGCGUGGGGAGCAAACAGG
rnacentral:rRNA from 1 species